CCUACGGGCGGCAGCAGUGGGGAAUAUUGCACAAUGGGGGAAACCCUGAUGCAGCGAUGCCGCGUGAGCGAAGAAGUACUUCGUUACGUAAAGCUCUAUCAGCAGGGAAGAAAAGGACGGUACCUGAGUAAGAAGCCCCGGCUAAUUACGUGCCAGCAGCCGCGGUAAUACGGCGGGGGCGAGCGUGAACCGGAUUUACUGGGUGGAAAGGGAGCGUGGACGGUUCGCCAAGGCUGGGGUGAAAUGGCGCAGCUUAAAUGCGGAACUGCUUUGGAAACUGGCGAACUAGAGGGCGGGAGGGGUAGGCGGAAUGCCUAGUGUAGCGGUGAAAUGCGUAGAUAUUAGGAAGAACACCGGUGGCGAAGGCGGCUUACUGGACCGUAACUGACGUUGAGGCACGAAAGCGUGGGGAGCAAACAGGAUUAGAUACCCUUGUAGUC
rnacentral:rRNA from 1 species